rnacentral:lncRNA from 1 species
GAAAACAAAUUCAAAAUAUUCAAUUCAUGUUCACUUUGCAGUAGAUAUACCAACAAUUACACUCUUCUAUUCAUCACAAGAUGCCAUUCACCAAUGCAUUUAUUCAACAUAUUUAGAGGAUCCAUUAGUUUUCCUUGCUACAACCAUUGAAAAAAUACUCAAAUCAACAUACAAGUUGUGGCAUGUUACAAAAUAUGGGCCUAGUUCAAAAGAGACUUCAAGUGUUCGAUCACUCUACACUACACUAUGGAAGAGCCCAAGUCUUCGAUCACCAAACCGACAUCAAAUUCCAUUUAAAGAAAAUAGAAGAUGUACCAAAGCCAUAAUAUCUUCGACUUGAUACUUCCCGCCAUUUGACCCUGCAAAAGCACCAUAUGUUUGAGCAAUAUUAUCAUAGUACAUUUGUUCAAACUUCUGAGUUACUCUUGAGUCCAAAGAACCAAAAAAAGAUGUACAACAAACUGGCUUGGUAGUGUUGUUAUAUGCAUUGGUCAAAGCCCAAAAAACAUACUAAUCAUUUAAAUAAAGUGAAGAAACCCAGUUACAUGCACAGUUACAUGCAGAGUUAUCAGGAAGCAGCCGUGAGCAUAUAGACCAACUUUGUAGAAAAUAAAGCAUCAUACUAGCAUUCAACUUCUUACAAACUCAUGCGUACAAGUUCUUACAAACACAUGCGUACAGAUCGAUGAGAGUAUGCAUGUUACAUGAAAUUAAAAUAGCAGAGCAAAGCAUUAGAUUUCAGACAUUAACAAUGAAAACGUCGUACAAUAUACAACACAUGCUUGGCGGAGGAGCUCACCUAGAGCUUAGGCCAUCUGCCCAUCAUCUUUGCAGAGGAGAUGCAUCUUGACACCGCUCUCAAUAAAAUGUAUGGUGAUAAGCAAAGGGAAGGUCUAAGGAGUGAGGACAAGCGGAGAGCACAUGCAAGAGAUCCUGCCGCAAAUUCCUGCACAAAAGGCAACCCUCUACUCAGUAUUUGUAGAUGCAGGUUCUGAUCAAAGUUAAAACACAAACCAUCUGAGACCAUCAGUUUUAGCUUACUCGAAUUACAAAAAAUGACACAUGAAUAAUACCUCACACAUAUAUAUGUAGUUAUGUAUUAGUCAGAUCCACCGAUUGACCAAAAAUGGGAGCAUGUUGUUUCACUUAAAUAAAUACAUAGACACAUUUGUUUUGUGUGCUCGGUAGGCAAAAGGAUAGUCCUUUGAAGGUACAAUGCCAACGAUUUGUUCUGAAAUGAACGACAGCUGAGAUAAUGUUCCUGAAAUUGAUGAUAUGAUAUGAGAUCAUCUUGAGUAAUAGGCAGCCACACCAUAACCGAAAUUAUCAGCAAGCAACAGCCGCAUUUAUGUUUCGAAGCAAGCAGACAAAAUCUGUGAAUAAAUAUGACAGUUUAGACAUAAAUUUGUUCAAACUAGAUAGAUCUAAUGAGUUUCUUCCUCAAUGAAAGAUGCAACUAAUGUUGUCUUUGUGUUCCAUACACUUAAUUGUUUUCUUAGAAGUACAAGGAAAGGAAAUCCAGAAAUUAGAUCAAACAAGAGUGUACAUUUCACCACUCACUGACAUUGUUAAGUUUCACUUUCAGGAACAAAUUACAGACUGUAGAUUUGUUUCUUUUAUCACCACAGAUUUUCACAUGUGAUGGGUAUUGAAAUAGUAGAAGACCUUGGAUAGGGAAAAAAUGUGUGCUAAUAGCAACAAAUAUAUCUACAGUAGCUGCAUCUGGAUUUCAAUUGCAAUUUCGUUUAAAAUACUUCAUAGAACAUGUGUGGACUGUCAAUUCAUCAAGGCUUGGACUUUCAAUCUGUUCGGAAAUCAUUGAAUACCUAAACUAGCAAUUUGUGUCAAUUUCUAUGCUUUUAUUUGUACUUCUAAAAUUUACCAUUCACGGUUGUGGAAGUAGUAUUGUGAGCUUACUAGAACUAUUACUCAAGUCUCAGUGCCUUUGGUCUCAGUUUUUACCUAUGCUCUCUGCCUCUCUGUUUCGUCAAUCUUCCGCCAAGUGUACUUGGCCAUUUGUCCUUUUUCUUUCUUGUGCAGCUCCUCUCCUAUUUCAGUGAGCAAAACAAUGCUAUUAAUGAGCCCUAACAAGUUCCUAGAGGAAGACCAGAUUGACUUUAUUGACAUGCUAAUGAAUUGGUAGUCAGCCUUUCUUGCUCAAGUGCUACAAUUUUCAGUCCCAACCAAGUAUUUUAUGUGCAUAGAACUAGCGAGCAAUGUAUAAUUAACAUGCCACUGACCAAGGAUUUUAGAUUUUUAGCAAAAAUCAAGAGUGAGCAGCGGACCGAAAAUAUUCAAUUCAACUGCACAUGGCUAUAACAAGAGGGCUAUAUUCAACUUACUAACUGAACUUCGGUACAAAUAGGUAUCUCCAAAUAACCAAUACGAUCCCAGCCACUAGUCCAAGGAUUUGAAAUGAUAAUUAAGAACUGAACAUAUAAGACCACCUCGCGUCGUCAAUAGCAGCCAAUUGUUAUGGUCAGAGGAGUAGCCUACUCCACGCAUCUUCAGGGGUAUUGUUCUGCACAGCGGAUGGAGCAACAACAAGUUUACCAACUGAACAAAACUAGUAUGGAAGCAAUAACAAGCUCCUGUGCAAACAUCCAUGAGAAAAUCACCUGCUGCCGUGAGGAGAGAAUUCAAAAAUGUCAUGUGCAAAAAGGGUUCAUUAUUGAGACGUUCAAGCUGAGUCAAAAUUGACAGUAGAAAACCAGCUCAUGUAUACACAUUAAAAGGCAACUUACAAGAAGACCUUUCAAAAAAGCACGCGCAUGUUAAUCUUUCCUAU